GGCUUCCAUCUGGAAGAAUCUGGAGGACAGGUGCUGCAUGGCUGUCGUCAGCUCGUGUCGUGAGAUGUUGGGUUAAGUCCCGCAACGAGCGCAACCCUUGCCUUUAGUUGCCAGCAGUUCGGCUGGGCACUCUAAAGGGACUGCCGGUGUUAAACCGGAGGAAGGUGGGGAUGACGUCAAGUCCUCAUGGCCUUUAUGACCAGGGCUACACACGUACUACAAUGGCCGAUACAAAGGGCAGCGACACUGCGAGGUGAAGCCAAUCCCGUAAAAUCGGUCUCAGUCCGGAUUGGAGUCUGCAACUCGACUCCAUGAAGUUGGAAUCGCUAGUAAUCGUGGAUCAGCAUGCCACGGUGAAUACGUUCCCGGGCCUU
rnacentral:rRNA from 1 species